GCGGACGAUGGCUUCUGUCACUGC
rnacentral:piRNA from 1 species